UAAGAAACAAACAUGUUGCAAUAUUUUUGCUAAUUACCUUCGAGGAAAUAGUUUUUUUUUUAUAUACGAUCUCAUAUAUUUUGGUAAAAAGGGACGAUUUCUUUAGAUAUGUCCUGUUCAUCUGUGACUUCAACGUCGUUUUUAAUGAACGUUUCUAUAUAUAUAUAUAUUUUUUACCUUUUCUUCUACAGCUGACAGAAAUAUUGAUGCCACCCGAACGCUUCCCUAGGGAGGUGUUUAGGGCACGUCCGACCGGCAGGAGGCCACAGGGAAGACCCAGGACACGUUGGGAAGACUAUGUCUCCCGGCAGGCCAGGGAACGCCUCGGGAUCCCCCGGGAGGAGCUGGACAAAGUGGCUGGGGAGAGGGAAGUCUGGGCUUCUCUGCUUAGGCUGCUGCCCCCGUAACCCGACCUCAGAUAAGCGGAAGAAAAUGGAUGGAUGGAAGAUAAUAAAAAAGGCUUGUUGGGAGUCACCAUUGUAGCCUUAAAAGCCCUCUAAGACAAUUUCAAAACCCACCCAUCAACGUUUUGUAUACACACUGCAAGUCAAUAUAUAAUGUAGUAACAGACACGUCCCUAACAAUAUGUAAUAUGUACAAUACUUACCGUGUAUUGAUUAUUUUAAUAAUUUCCAGGACUGACUUCUUCCACGCAAUGAUUUCUGUUUCCAUAGCAGCGCGUGUCCGACUUCCAGUUUGUUCCUACUUCUGAAUACAAAACGCUUGUGUUUGUUCUAAUCAUGGGAGAUUCGGUAACAAACAACAAAGACGACUAUUUUUGGACAAAUGAGGAUUCACAACCGUAUCUUUUUGAAGCUGAAUGAACAAAGGAUUAACUGCUGCUUCGAGAUGCCAGCACGAAGAAGAGGGUGAAAUGUUGGAGCAGACGGAAGCCCAUAGAUUGAGCCGCACACUACAUUACGUUAAGAAGGACGGAAGUGUCAGAGCAUCAGCGAGGUUCAACACCUUGUUGCUAAGGACAACCCAGAUGGAGUCACAUGCACAAAAUCCAGCCUUCCAUUAUCCUCUCUGCAGGUUGUACGAGUCCAUUUGAGCAGGUUCCAGGGGACAAGGAGGAAUAGGCGGAGGCGAGCAAUCUGCAAGAACCUUCAUAAGGGUGCUGCUGAUCUCCUCCCAUGUCAUAUUUUCGAUGGCACCCUGGAAUGUGUGCAUGAGCUGCUCCAUUCUUGAAGGUCUCUGUUACACAUAAGACACAAAGAAGACAUACAUUUUGGUCAGGAUACAACACACACCACACUAUACUGCUCAUUUAAUGCAAUAGGUGUCACAUCCUAUGGCACUCAAACUUCUGAAUCCAUCCAAUUUGGUAUAAACUUUCAAUAGUAACUCAACAGUGAAAUGACGUCAGUCAGUGGUGGAGUUAGAAACUGCAACGUGAAUCCUUUCUGCAUCAAUGACAUGUCCCAAAUAUGACACACUGUUGAAAGAAAGCACAUUUAUCUUAGCUCUUGAAUUAGGGCUUUCUAGUCUUUUCAACACUUUGUCUAGAUUUUUCAUGUGCAUUUCAGUAUCUUGUCUCGUGACCAAUAGGUCGUCCAAAUAACCCAUUACAAACAUACAUAUAUAUUCUGCAGUGCAUAAAUUCUUCAAAUACUAACCCCCAAACCGGCCUUCCCUCAUUACAUGCACAAAACUAUAACAAUUUCUAGGUAGUCACUCAUGUCCAAGUGAUUUUAAUUCUAUAACAGAUCAUUUGAGUCUCAAUAAUUGCACUUUUUGGGGUGACGUUGUCUGAUGUGGCUGCUCAAGCCCAGAGCAGAGCGGAAGAGACGGGAACAGGUGUGGGUGGUGAGCGGGGAAAAGGAAGUCUUUCUUUGCAUUGUUGUCUUUUGGUCUCUGCCUUACAACGUUGUUAAUUUUCCAUGCGGCCGGUUACUUAAAUGAUGGUGCGUCUCCACUCAGGGCGAUCUUCGGCAACAGUCUCCCAGUUGGCAUGGUCAAUGUUGUAGCGGAGGAGAGGGGCCUUCAGGUGGUCGCCAAAUCAUCGUGUGGAGACUCCUCUGGGUCAUGUGCCGGAUACAAGUUGCGAUAUUUUUAUAUAUUUCAAGUUGGGAUGGUGCCCACUGCGUAGUCGGCCAAGCGUUGCCUGUUCAUGUCUGGAGAGACUGUUGACCGCGGUGCGGUUGAUCUUCUUUCCCCGUUGACCAUAGAUUCUCCCUGUUUGUUUGUGCUGAAUAGGACCGGCCCCUGUCCACCGUCUGACCGCUGCUUUGGCUAAAUGGUAGUGAGAGUCAACAUUGGAUUGGUACAGGCGUGCGCCCUCCCUGUCCUGGUCAGCGAGGUCAUUACCAGCAAAAUACUACAAUGGCUUGGACACUAAGUGACACUAACCUGGCUCCCCCUUGCUCUAAGGUCAAAAAAGGUUUUAAGUAUGUCACUUUUGUCGUUGGAGGGGUGAGUGUUCUGGAGAUGAAGCAGUACGGAAUGGCUUUCCCUAACUACUUCCUGCGUAGCGUUGACCGCCUUCAAUUCAGCUUGGAAGAAUCAUCCUCAAUUGCCAGCUGGUAUGGCGAAAGAACGGUGGGUCGUGGGAUCACUUGGAUGGCCACUUUGAUGCCCCCGCCGCCUAUUGCAUUACCGUUUGUAGCAGACCCAUCGAUGUAGUGUGACGUCAUAGGUACUCCAGUUCUUUUCCAGUCGCUUCAUUGCCCGUUGUCUUAUCUCUUUCAGUCUCUCCCAACUUGCUCCCUUACAACUCGAAGAUGUGGUGGCCCACCUUAAGCCAUGGCGGGAGUAGCUCGGGAGCACCAACUGGACUUUUUGUUUCUAUGUUGCACCUCUGCAACAGCGGUUUGGUUUCUGAGAUUUGUUGAAGCCAUUUGCAGGGACUUCUUGCCAUCGCAAUGGCAUCCAAUUGGGUGGCCCUGGUCUCUAUGGUUGGGAGAUCGGCUUCCGUCAGUAUCGCCUCAGCUGGUGUCGUUUUGACAUGUCACGUUAUCCCUCGGCCCGCAAAUCGUUGGCAAGUCUCCUGCUUUUGAAUCGUAGAAGUUGAUGUCCAGGGCAACCAGGCCGCUGCCUCUUACUCAACCGAAGAUCUCCCGUUGGUGAUGUAUGUAGCUCUGGGGGAAACUUUGUCAUAACCCCAGUCAGUCGUUGUUAGGCUGACAAUUGCUGCAUGGGUGGUAAAGGUUAACUGAUGGUCAUAUGCCACUCUCAGGAAUUUGGGGUUCAUAAAUGUUUGUGAAAAAGAAGGUACAUUCCGACUUCUAUGCCGACAGAUUCCAUCUUUAAACGUCCGCUCCAACCUUCACUUUUGCGCAAAAGCUGCUACAGUCUUUGCUGCGCUCUUUUCAGGUUGUUGUCUCGAACCCAAACUGCUACAUCGUCUGCAAAAAGAUUACCCUGCGAGGUGUUUAUAGUGGUGGGAAGGUCGUCGACGUAGAAAAUAAAUACUUUAUGCUGCGACAGAACCGACCCCUGUGGGACGCCUUGUUUGUGUGAGCGUUUUGCUCGUCACGCUGUCAAAGUGCUGCUGCUGCUCCUCCUGCGACGUAGCUCCUCAUCAGCGAUGUUAUAAUAUUUGUUCUGCUCAUCCAUUGUUAUUGAUCUCCACUGUGGACACAACAAACAUGAUAAUUAGUAAAGUGAUCCUCCACCUUUUUGGGACUAAAGCCUAUUUUCAGUGACUGCUGUCAUCAAUCCACAUUAUUUCCUUACAUGGUCAAAAGCUGUGACUUACUAUCUGGCCUAGGAUGGUGUUGACUUUGGCGCAGGAUGGUGUUGAAUUUGGCGCUACUUUUGAUGUUCAUGCCAGCUGCCACGCUUCGCCUGUUCUCUCUCAAGAACAUCAUGAAGGCAUUGGGCGGUUUCUUAAUGUGGUCCUCUUUUUCAUGCCUCUUCCUCCUUCUGCAGAAAGAUGGUCUAAGCGCACGUUCCACUUCUUUGUUUAUAAAGACACUGCCGUUAAACAUGAAAGAAGAAAAAGCCCAAACUUACUUUGCCUUGGAGGAUUUUGGUGCAGGUGCAGUGACUUGAGGGGCUGGCAAGAUGUCAUAGACCACUUUUCUGUUACGACAUGGACACGUGUUAUUACAAAGGUGCAAACAGGGCGUGUGUGUUUUAAUGCAUGCCUAUUUGUGUGUUUCUUACAUCGUUCUGAUGGGAUGGAGAUUUUCUAACGACAGGUUGAUGCCUGGGUGCAGCGUAUUGGCGGCUGUGGUGGACAUCUAGAGGCACAAACACACACACACACAAGUGGUAAAAUGGAUUCGAAGAAGUCGGGUUGUGGGCAUUCUGACGUGUCCUGUCCAGCGGAGGCUGUAUCGUGCCAUCUUUGCCUCGAUGCUCGGGCGGUUGCCUCAGACAAAUUCAUUGGUGACGAGGUCUUGCUAUUUGAUAUUUAGGAUCACACAAAGUUUUUGCUGUUGGAAACGCUCCAGCUUUCACAUCCCGUCGAUACAGAAGCCACACUUCAGAGCCAUACAGAAGGGCAGAAAGAACGAUGGCUCAGAACACAAUGAUUUUGGUGUGGAAACUAAGGUUAUGGUUUAGGAAGCCACGUUUGGGGAGCCUCCCAAAAGCUGCAUGAGACGUGUUGGUUUUGGUUAGGGUGCUUACAGCGAGCUGCUGGUUGACUUUUACAUUGCGUCAGCCCAACUGGCGCUGUUCUCAAUCACCAGUUGUAAGACAACUUGGACUUGAAGGUUCCAAAACCCUAGAAGCCUAAGGGCCUGCUCGGUUUUGUGGCGCCGAUCGCACUCAACAGUCACAGAUUUUUUGGCAACAGUCACCUGUGCACUUUUUAUGGGUAUCAGGUGGGGGUGCCCCUGAUCCCACACACGACAUCCCUACUCCACCUGGAUCCAGUUUAUUGUUAUACCCAGGACAUAUAUACAUAUCGAUAAUCACUGCAAUAUGAACAAAAUAUGAUACUGUAAGUACUGUAGUUCCCCUAGUGGUUGUGACCCUAAACAACCGCAUAGUGUUUUGUAUUGUGAGCUGGAACAGUUGACACUUGCUGCUGCUGCUCCUCCUGCGACAACAUUGGUCCCCCUCAGGCAUAUUAUAAUAUUUGUUCUGCUCAUCCAUGGUCAUUGAUCUCCACUGUAGACACAAAAACAUGACAGUUAGUAAAGUUAUUCCCCACCUUUUUGAGCCAACUGAGCAGGGGCCUCAUGUAUUACACACAACAACCUGGUGUACUGGCUUUUUCACAGCAAAGUUGACAUUUAGCAAGAGUGAACUUUACUGAAUGUGGAAAUGUGCAGUGCCUCGCACAAACUUCAUGGCUGGUGUACGCACAUUUCUACAGGCCGUGGAUAUUUUGGCUUGGAUUUAUACGCUUGCACACUUUAGUACAUCUGAAUUGUGUGUAUGAUGUUUUCUGGAUUUUUAACCAUACACUAAUUUUUAGUCAGAAAUCCACAAAACUCUUAAUACAUGAGGCCCCUGCUUGUUCAUUUCUGUAAAACCUGAUAGUCACAACAUCUAACCUAUAUGGUUUUUGAGGCGUCGAUUCAACAUGGACAAAGUGUGUACAUUUUGUUGUGGUACACCACAGACUAUGUUUUUAUCAUGUAUUGAAAUGAAACUGUUUUGGAACGAUACGUCUUCAUUCUUGGUUAAAACCUGUUUUUACUUCACUUACAAUUAAUUUCUGUUUGAAUUCUGUUUAAUUUUUGAUAUGCCUUUUCCAAACAUGAAAAGAAGGAAUCUCAUAACUGUAUUGUCGAGCCAAAUUCUAUGUCCAUAAAGCUAAAUAUCUAAAGACAUAAUUACUUUUAAAAAUAACUUUAAAUUGUAUUUAUAUAUAUAUAUUUAUAAUAUAUAAGAAAGUUUGAUCAUAUUACACCUAUACUGGCUCACCUGCACUGGCUUCCUGUGCACUUAAGAUGUGACUUUAAGGUUUUACUACUUACGUAUAAAAUACUACACGGUUUAGCUCCAGCCUAUCUCGCCGAUUGUAUUGUACCAUAUGUCCCACAAGAAAUCUGCGUUCAAAGUACUCCGGCUUAUUAGUGAUUCCCAGAGCCAAAAAAAAGUCUGCGGGCUAUAGAGCGUUUUCCAUUCGGGCUCCAGUACUCUGGAAUGCCCUCCCGGUAACAGUUAGAGAUGCUACCUCAGUAGAAGCAUUUAAGUCCCAUUUUAAAACUCAUUUGUAUAAUCUAGCCUUUAAAUAGACCCCCCUUUUUUAGACCAGUUGAUCUGCCGUUUCUUUUCUUCUCUCCUCUUCUCCCCUGUCCCUUGCGAGGGGGAGUUGCAUAGGUCCGGUGGCCAUGGAUGAAGUGCUGGCUGUCCAGAGUCGGGACCCUGGGUGGACCACUAGCCUGUGCAUCGGUUGGGGACAUCUCUGCGCUGCUGACCCGUCUCCGCUCGGGAUGGUUUCCUGUUGGCCCCGCUGUGGACUGGACUCUCGCUGAUGUGUUGGAUCCACUGUGGACUGGACUUUCACAAUGUUAUGUCAGACCCACUCGACAUCCAUUGCUUUCGGUCUCCCCUAGGGGGGGGUUACCCACAUAUGCGGUCCUCUCCAAGGUUUCUCAUAGUCAUUCACCGACGUCCCACUGGGGUGAGUUUUUCCUUGCCCGUAUGUGGGCUCUGUACCGAGGAUGUCGUUGUGGCUUGUACAGCCCUUUGAGACACUUGUGAUUUAGGGCUAUAUAAAUAAACAUUGAUCGAUUGAUUGAUUGAUUUUAAAUCCCCUUAAAUGAUAGACCAAAAAUGCAUGCAUUUUCUUUUUUUUGUAUAAAUGUUUAAACUUGUUUCUUCAUCUACUUCUUGUUCGUUUUA